ACGCACCGCUACUUAUUAAGAAAAUGCGCGCCAAAGUUACUUUUAUAUGUAUUGUUAUUUGGUUUAAUUGUGAUCGAGUGUACACAGUAGUUAUAAGAAAAAACUGUAGCGAUUGCAUUGGCUACAAAUCAUGUACCGCUGCCGUGAUAGCCACAGGCAUGGCUCUGUACACUGAGCUUCAGAGCGCCGACUGCGGGUUAGACGAUGCCUUAGUACGGAAGGUAUGCUGCGCUAAGCUGACAGAUGGAGUGGAAACCGCAAUGGCCAACUACCUUGAUUACCAUCCAAACGUUCUCCUGUUACCGGAUAACUGUGGCAUCGGGGAGGAAGAUGGUUAUGCAGACAGAAUCGCAGGCGGUAAAGUUGAUAUGUACAUAAUUAUGUUGCGCUAAGCUGACAGCUGGGUGCGUAGCCAACGUGCAAUCGUUUACGCUCCGUAGCACGUUGGCUACACGCCCUGAAGUGGAAACUACAAUGGCCAACUACCUUGUUUACCAUCCAAACGUUCUCCUGUUACCGGAUAACUGUGGCAUCGGUGAGGAAGAUGGUUAUGCAGACAGAAUCGCAGGCGGGGUCCCUGUGCUCGGGCUGUACGUGUAUCCAUGGAUGGUAUUCAUAUCCUAUAAAACA